UACGUAGGGGGCUAGCGUUGGUCCGGAAUCAUUGGGCGUAAAGGGCGCGUAGGCGGGUCGUGACAAGUCACUUGUGAAAUCUCCGGGCUUAACUCGGAACGGUCAAGUGAUACUGUCGGACUAGAGUACAGAAGGGGCAACUGGAAUUCUCGGUGUAGCGGUGAAAUGCGUAGAUAUCGAGAGGAACACCUGCGGCGAAGGCGGGUUGCUGGGCUGAUACUGACGCUGGAGGCGCGAAAGCUAGGGGAGCGAACGGG
rnacentral:rRNA from 1 species